rnacentral:ncRNA from 25 species
AAGGGAAUGAAGUGAAAUUCUUCAACUACCCCAGUAACCGUGAAACUGACGAAAUCAAAGGCAGAAUCAAAAGUAACAAGUCCAAUAUUUUAUUUUUUGAUUAUGUCUAACGUGCCACUGAGAAAUUGGGAAGGCUUGAAAUUAGGAUGAAGUUAAGUCGGGAUACCU